AGCAGCAUUCCCUGACCCCAGGGGCAUCUGGACACAGCCAUUCCUGUUGGGGUUGCUGCUGCCUGAGCACCCACAUCUUUGCCAGGGAGCCCUGUGAAGAGCCGCGAGAGGCAGCAGCCAUGAAGAUCCUGUUCCUGCUCUUCCCCCUGAUCCUCCUGCUGGUGCAGGGUGCUGCAGGAGGUUCAGCUGCAUGCAGGCGCCGAGGGGGACACUGCACCUAUGGGGGUUGCCCCUACCCUGGAAAACCUAUUGGAAGUUGUUCAUCUCUAAGGGUGUGCUGCAAAGGAUUCUGGGGUUGAAAUUCCCAAGCAGGACAUUCCCUCGCUUCUGGCUCCUGGACCCAUCUCCUGAUGUCCCCUCCCGUCCCUGCCUGUGCCGUGCCCAGCUGCGGUGACAGCAGCAGUGGCAGCUGCUCCUGCUGGGCGCUGCUGGGCUGGAGCCCUCUGCUGCCAGCGCCGGUGUCUCUGGGGCAGGGGCUGCUUUUCGCGGCUUGAAUAAAGACUUUGAGCACGUUGGCAUUGCA